rnacentral:lncRNA from 1 species
GAGAAAUUAAAGAAGAUCUAAAAUAAAUGGGAAAACAUACCAUGUUCAUGGAUUGAAAGACUUAACAACAAUGUUAAGAUGACAAUACUCUCCAAACUGGGCUACAGACUCAGCUCAAUCCCUAUAGAAAGUCAGCUGACUUCUUUAUAGAGAUUGUGAAGGUGAUUCCAAAGUUCAUAUGGAAUCUCAAGGAACCCAGUAUAGCCAAAAUAAUCCUGGAAAAGGAAAGCAGAGUAGGAAGAAUCACACUUUGAU